rnacentral:rRNA from 1 species
UACGUAGGGGGCAAGCGUUGUCCGGAUUUAUUGGGCGUAAAGAGCGUGUAGGCGGUCAGGUAGGUCCGUUGUGAAAACUCGAGGCUCAACCUCGAGACGCCGAUGGAAACCAUCUGACUAGAGUCCGGAAGAGGAGAGUGGAAUUCCUGGUGUAGCGGUGAAAUGCGCAGAUAUCAGGGAAGAACACCCGUGGCUAAGGCGGCUCUCUAGUACGGUACUGACGCUGAGACGCGAAAGCGUGGGGAGCGAACAGG